GCCACUUGUGUCUUGUCCAGAUGUGCCUCGUUGUCUAGUUAGUCUCUGUGGACGUAGUUUCCGGUUUCUAAACAAUCUCGAAUGUCACGUGUUUGCCUUUUUCGUCGCCUGAGAUCCUGCACUUGGGUCCACCUGCCUUUUGUCCACCACACAAAAAAACAACAACCUGACAGCUUUAUGUAAAAAUCUUGGUCUCAGCAGAUUGGCAACAGUUAAAAGGAGACAACUGGACUCUUCUUGUUUGUCAGUCCUUCAUUCUCUCUGUCAAAUUUCAACUAACUAUUUGUAAAGAAAUAUGGUUCUAGUGUCACAGGUUUUAUGCUUUGUAAUUGUUUAUGAGACAGAGACGUCUGACGACAAUAUGCUGGAAGAACUAUUCUGCAGAUCAAAGCACCUUGACAAAGAAUUUUAAGGGUCAACAGCAGCCAAGUAUUGAUUUAAUAAAUGGCACAUUUAACAGAAAUGUAUUCUUCCACCAAGUAUUUAUGUGGUUUUGUGUGUAAAGUAAACACACUCUUUACAUCUUCACACAGGUCCAAUCUUUGUCUUUACUAGAGUGCUAUCCUUGAUUCAAAUGAGGAAUUAUAGUUGGAGUUGGAUCAGCUGACCGAGAGCUGCUGAAAGUGCAAGGAAACAGCACUCCAUUUAAAUCCAUCAAGAUCUGGAAUGGGUGCAAAGGCUUCACUUGGGGAAGCGUAGCAGAUGCACAUCCACACAAUACACGCCUGGGUGAUGUGCCAUGUUGGCCUGGCAGCAGUUAUACCAGGGAUACUAACUGGAGUUAUUAACUCAUUAAGAAGGACGGUUACAUCAUGGGACUGGAGACAUUUGAGUCAGUGAGGGAUGAGAGAUCACUCAGAAAUCCACAAACAAUCCUUCUCAGCCUCUCUAUGUCACUCUGGAGCAGCAG